rnacentral:lncRNA from 1 species
AUGGCAAAUACCUUAGGCCACAGCUCAUUCUUUAGUGGAUUGUUUUCAAUGGGCAGCAUGAGAACAAAAAACAGCCACAUGGAAACAGUCACAUGUAGUGGGCAUCGGAAGGUUCCUUACACUUUUUUUCAUUCAGAAAGACUCAAGAGACCUACAGCUGCACGAGAACAUUUGGCAACACUUAUUACUACACCCAGGCUCUCGGAUUUUGCCUACCACUGGUUAAUUCAGAUUACAUACCAGUUAAAAUAUGUACCGUAUUUUUAUAAUUCAGAAUGAUUAAACAAAAUAUUAGGACCAGCAAGGAAGAUGUGGCCUGAUAAAUUGCAGUGUACUUUUAUUAAAUUAACAAUGUGUUAGCUUUGACAUCAGCUGCAAUAUGAUCCAGUAUUGUGAAAUGCACUUUUGGAUCCUGACAUGUUUAUUGUUAUGUCUGGCAUUCUUGCUGGAUUUUUUCUUCAUUAUUAUUAUUAUUAUUGUUGUUGUUGUUAUUAUUAUUAUUAUUAUUAUUAUUAGUGCCAUUGUUAUUAUCAAAAUAUGAAUGCAUGUAGGUUAUGGGAUAAGAUUUUUUUUUUUUUUUUAAGUGACAGUAUGCAAGUUUGUACUUGAAACUGUUAUACAUGCCAAAUGAGGUUAUGGAGAGCCUAGAAGUGAGAGCAGAAGUCAGUACACAAAAGGGCUUGUGUCUUAAGAUGUUAGCCUGGAAUUUACCUUUACGUCAACCUCCUGGUCUACUCAGACAAAAAUGUACUGAAUGUCAGUCAUGGAUGGGCAAACUAAGGGUAUUGCCGGUCUCUUGACACUGCACUAUUUGGAUAUGAUGGAUGUGGAGAAAUCUAAUCCUUCCAGAGGGAAUCAGGUGGCACUGUUAGGACAAAGAGUGCAAACAAUUUUGUACUGGAAAAAACUUUCCAUUUUUGUCUUUUUGUGCCAAAAAUGUUACAGUCUCCAGCUGUUCUGUGUUAAACACUAAAUCUAGUAGAGAAAAGAAUCUCAUAGAAAAGGUUAAACAUCGAAUAGCUGUUUCUAUUGGUUGGAUUAUGUUUAGAUCAUAUAAAACAUGUUAAAAAAUCAUUUCCCAGGCACUGCUAAAACAUCUGCUUUCUGAAUUAGAAAGCUAGACAUUCAAAUCUAAGUUGGGAAAGAAAGAAAAAAAAAGAAAGAAAGAAAGAAAGAAAGAAAGAAAGAAAGAAAGAAAGAAAGCCAAGAGCUGUUUUCUUUAAAGGCCUUUUGCUACAAACAAGUGAAUUGAGUGUUUGUGAUAUCUUAUUAUCCCAGAAGUCAGUCUGAACAGACUGAGAAAGAAAGCAGAUGUCCUACAGACUGAGACACAGUUAUUUGAAGAACAAUAUAAGUAAUCUUCCAAAAAAACAAUGAUUUAAUUUGGGCUUUCCCUUUUGUCAUCCCUGCACUAGAGCUGCAUAUUUUAUUUUCUCCUCUUAAAUCAAUAAAGAAUGGAAUUGUCUGGUUCUUUGACA